rnacentral:rRNA from 1 species
CGGCACGGGUGAGUAACGCGUGGGUAUCUGCCCUGGAGUGGGGGACAACUGCUGGAAACGGCAGCUAAUACCGCAUACGCCCUUAGGGGGAAAGCUAUAUGCGCUCCAGGAUGAGCCCGCGUCGGAUUAGCUUGUUGGUGAGGUAACGGCUCACCAAGGCGACGAUCCGUAGCUGGUCUGAGAGGAUGAUCAGCCACACUGGGACUGAGACACGGCCCAG